rnacentral:rRNA from 1 species
CCUACGGGAGGCAGCAGUAGGGAAUCUUCCACAAUGGGCGAAACCCUGAUGCAGCAACGCCGCGUGGGUGAAGAAGGUCUUCGGUUCGUAAAACUCUGUUAUUAGCGAAGAAAGUGCGUGAGCGUAACUGUUCACGUUUCGACGGUAUCUUACCAGAAAGCCACGGCUAACUACGUGCCAGCAGCCGAGGUAAUACGAAGGUGGCAAGCGUUAUCCGGAUGUAUUGGGCGUAAAGGGAACGCAGGCGGUCUUUUAAGUCUGAUGUGAAAGCCUUCGGCUUAACCGGAGUAGUGCAUUGGAAACUGGGAGACUUGAGUGCAGGAGGGGAGAGUGGAACUCCAUGUGUAGCGGUGAAAUGCGUAGAUAUAAGGAAGAACACCAGUGGCGAAGGCGGCUCUCUGGACUGUAACUGACGCUGAGGUUCGAAAGCGUGGGGAGCAAACAGGAUUAGAUACCCGUGUAGUC